rnacentral:lncRNA from 10 species
GUUAGAGAUCAUAUUGAGGGACUAGGGUUACAUGUUGUGUUCACUGAAUCAUUUACAAUGAACAUAAACAUUUAUAAACACAAAAAAGGCAUUUCUGAAAAUCAGUAUCUGUUACAAUCAUUCAAAUGCAAUGUCAUUUAUUUAUAUUGCAUUAUUUAGUCUACUGUUUUCUCAUUUUUUAAAAAAAUAGCAAUUAAGGCAAGGAGGGAAUCUUUAUGGUUAAUAUUUAAAAUUUUAUCUUUAGAAAUAAAAAAGUAGUUCAUCAUACAUAAAAGAAAAAACAAAUUUAAUCUGUAAGAGUACAUUAUCUUUAAUUUUCUUAAGUCAAAAACAUUUUACAUAUUAGCAUCAGUGUAAACAUCCUCUCUGACGUCGCAAUGUUAAGACUUCUGUUGCCUCGGUCCCAUCUCAUUCUGACCCUGGGCUCAUUGGCCCUUACAAUUUAAUCUGAACAAUGGAACCAGAGACAUCAGCACUGUCCAGGCUCUCUGAUGAUCUUCAUCCUUCGCCAGCGGCAAUUCAUGAAAUAAAUACAGAGUUUUCUGAGGAAAGUACAAUAUACUCAGACCUCAAAGUUCAUUGUUCUUCAAAUAUCCAGAACGGAAAAAUAACUAAAACUUCGAAAACAAAAGUGUCUCCGUGGUGCAUUGCUGCUGUGAUAUUUGCCUUCCUUUAUAUAAUCACUCUGGUAAUAGUUGCAGCUAUGGUAGCUAAGAUUCAUUGUCUUGAGGAGAUCCUGCACGAGGCAGCCACUGAGACUGCACAUUGCAACAUAAUAUCACAAAACAAAGGUAAUUGGUCUUCCUCCGAAGAAAACUGACAUUUUAUAUCUACUGAAAAUAAAAUCUUGGCAUCAAAGAAAUUUGUUCUGAAGCAUUGAGCUCCAGUCCCACCAAGGCAAAUAAUGAAGAAUUGGAAGUGUUUCGUGUGAUAUUCAUUCUUAUAUUUUCUUACACAUCAUAUAAUUAUAAAUAGAGAAUUUUUAACAUCUUGUGUUCAUUUAAGCAUGCUAAACUCAACAUUUUAUAAAUUGGAGACAUCUCAAUCAAACUCAAAAGAUCAAAAUAUGACCUUAAAAUGGUUUUAGAUUUUAAAUAUAUUUGCAUACAGAAGUAAAUGCAAAUAUAAGAAAUUUCAAAUGUUGGCUAAUAAUGGGGGAAGAAAUCACAUAGACAUAGAAACUAAAGGGAAUCUGGUCACAAGUGGCACCUAAAAAAGAGCUAAUAUUUGUUGAUUGCUUCAAAUAUUCCUGGUACUACAUCAAUGAUUGUGGGCAUUAACUCAUGUAUUUUCCCAGUAAUCUUAUGAUACAAGUAUUAUCAUUGCCAUUGUUGUAUUAAUAAGAAAACCAAGACCCAGAGGGAAUGAUAGUUUUUUUCUGGGUAUCAGAAAUAGUAAGAAUUAGAUGCUUAAACUAUGAUUUAAGCUAAAAGAGUCUAACUCUAAAGAUCAGGAACAUAGCCAUUAUGCUAUGCUGACCCCAGAACAAAAAAUCUUAAUGAAUCAAAUUGUAAGAAUAUUGCUUCUUUGUAAAUAGUCAGAGCUGCUUAUACAAGCAGAUUUACAUUUUUCCACCCUGGAUAUAUCUUCUAAAGAGGAACAGUGAGAAAAAGAAUAGGAGCUCUUCAUAAGGACUAUUUUGAUACGAAUUGUUGUUUGGAAUGUGAAUAAAAGACAUUAACAGCAGUAAUGUUUCCCCCCAGUAGAUCCUAGCAAGCCAAAAGAAUAUAGAUGUCUUUUAUAUUUUUGUUCUCCUCUACUAUGUGACUAUUACCUCUAUAUUAUUUCUUCUUUUUCAUUGUAUUGAAGUUCUGUUAUUGCCUUUAAUGAAGACUUCAAUGCAGAUCAAUGACGAUAAAUUUAGGGCAUAUAUGCUGAAAAUUUCCAUACAGUAUUCUUAGAAGGCUCUGUUCAUAAUAUCCUUCCCUAUGAAAUGCAAUAUCAUAAUUGCAAUCCUUCAUAAUUGCAAAAAAAAGUGAGCGUAGACCUCACUUUGAAUAACUUUCAACAGAGCAUACCAGAAAGUCUCCUCCAAUUGAAUUACUCUCAUCUCAUCUACAUAUGGUGCUUCAAAGUGAACUUGUAUAUACACAUCAGCAAUGAGCUCUUUCAGCAAAAGCAAGCAAAAACUGCACACAAAGAGCAAUGAAUUUGCUAAGGCAAUCGCUCCUAUGGUCUAUUACCUCAACAUUUGUUUUUUUGUUUUUUUGUUUUGUUUUGUUUUUUGAGACGGAGUCUCGCUUUGUUGCCCAGGCUGGAGUGCAGUGGCGUGAUCUCGGCUCACUGCAAGCUCUGCCUCCUGGGUUCACGCCAUUCUCCUGCCUCAGCCUCCCGAGUAGCUGGGACUACAGGCGCCCACCACCACCCCCGGCAAAUUUUUCUGUAUUUUUUAGUAGAGACGGGGUUUCACUAUUUUAGCCAGGAAGGUCUUGAUCUCCUGACCUCCUGAUCCGCCCGCCUUGGCCUUCCGAAGUGCUGGGAUUACUUCGGAAGUGUGAGCCACCGCGCCAGGCCCAAAAUUUGUUUUUAUAAAUCACAAUUUCCCCAUAACCUAGAGUAGAAGAGAUAAUAUCUGAAUUUUUCACAACUGAUACAAAAUAUCAAACUAUAUAUUAUCAAAGGCUUAUGAACUCCAAUAGGGCAAAUAAAAUGACAAGUUAGGUGUAUCAUAUAUAACUGUUGAAAAAAAAGACAAACAGAAACUUAAAGAUAGGAAGAGAAGCAAAGUUUACUUUCAAAUGAGCAACAAUUAUAAUGGCAGCUAACCUAUAAAAAGGAAAAAAAAAUGAAGGCUAUAUGAUUACUGAUUGACAACUGCCAUAGUAAAAUUCUAUUCUCAGAGACAACUAUCUAAUCAAAUGUGAAUGAUAUGAGCAUCUAAUUAUACUCCAUAGGUAAAAGAAAGAUCAUUUAAGUAGAACAAAAACAAUGUAUUACCUUUAUAUCUGUAUUAAGAAAGUACACUAGAAGAAUAUCCUUUUUUUUGUUUUUUUUUUGUUUGUUUUUUGAGAUGGAUUCUCACUCUGUGGCCCAGGCUAGAGCACAGUAGCAUGAACUCAGCUCACUGCAGCCUCCGCCUCCUGGGUUCAAGCAAUUCUCCUGCCUCAGCCUCCCAAAUAUCGGGGAUUACAGGCACAUCCCACCACGCCUGGCUAAUUUUUGUAUUUCUAGUGAAGACCGAGUUUCACCAUGUUGGCCAGGCUGGUCUCAAACUCCUAACUUCAGGUGAUUCGUGAGAGCUGGGAUUACAGACGUGAGCCACCGCGCCUGGCCCAGAAUAUUCUUUUGGUUAAAAUGAUCUCAGAUGAGACCUCAAAGACUCUGGAUAAAAGACAAUGAAAUAGGUAAAUACAGAUGUAAGUCUAAAUGAAUAGCAAUUAUAUCAAACCAUAAAUAAUGUCUACUAUUUUAAUUGCAUAAAACUAAAGUUUACUACGUUACAUUCACUUACAUUAAAAUAAGAGUUUUACUCUUAUUUUUAUUAAGAGUUUAUUACUCAUUUAACUCAAAAGAGUAAUAAAUAGAACUAAAAAGCUCUAAGUUUCUUAUAAUGGCUGGGAAGAUGUAAAGUAACUCUAUAUAUUGGACAUUAGUAAGUCAAGGAUGAAUAUUAUGACUUUCAGAAAAUGACCAAAAUAAUAGCAAAAUACUCUAUAUAACUAUGAUGAUGAUGGAGGAAUGCAUCUUAAAAAUGGAACAACAGUAAUGUAAUGGAGUAAUUAUCAAUCACUAGAACAAUAUUUAAUUAAGUCAAUAAGAAGAAUAUAUAUUAGAAUCAUUCUUAGAAAUUUAUGCUGAAGGCUGUGGGCAUUCUAGCAAGAACUAUCUACUGUGUCUUUAGUGGGGUAUUCAGGAGGCCAUGGGUUACUCAGGGUGGAUAUUACAGAACAGAAUAAAUGCUUUUGAUCUGAAAAGUAGAAGCAUCCCCAGGAACCUCAGAAUCACAGUUUCCUUGUGUUCCUCUUUCCUAUCCACUAAGUCUUGCUUGCAGACUAGUUCUAAUUAUCUCUGCUCAUUGCUCCUUUUGCUACAAAUGAUUUAACUUUCAUUGGCUUCCUCAUAGGUCUUAUGGAUUUCCUUUUCCCAAGGUUUGGUGUAUAUAUCUAGAGCUUGGGAAACCAUAUAUAUUUUUUCAACCUCUUUUUCUAGUGAAAGAUAGCCAUGUGCAUUUGUGUGAAGAAGUCAUAUUAAGAGUCUCAUCUUCACAUAAUUCUUCACUCUCUAUUUCUUUCAGUGACAAGGAAGACAUGAGUUAAACGUUCGAAGUCCCCAGUUAGCUCUAUUUCUUCCCCCUGAGACAUAUAUGUCUUUGGAAGGACUACUCUGUCUCCAGGUAGACUUAGUGGUAGUUGAUUCUUCCAAUUUUUUCAAUAGCUGAAAUUUCAAACAUAGUCAUGAUCUAAAUUUCUAUUUUUCAAUAGAUCCUUUGUUCCAGGACUUUGUAGUCCCCAGAUAUAAUUCCUAUGAACAACUUAUCACUGACUAUUCUAUUUUGGUUGAAUUCCCCAUUAUUGUUCCCCCAAAGAGAAUGCCUCCUAUCCCAAAGUGGUUGGAGAGAAUAUGUGAAUAUGUUCUACUUCCAAAAGCCUAUUAUUCAGAAAGAGUAGUUUAUAUUCUGUGUUGAACACUGUCUACUAAUGAAAUAAUAAAAACACCACAAGUGACUCAUGAUACAAGAUAAAAAACAGGGGUAGUGCAUGGUGCUACUGAAACUUGUCAGAGCAAAAAGAGGCGAGCUUGAGCUAAGCACAACUGAACACAGUAUAAAUUUUACUACAGAAAAGAAAUUCUGUUUCCUUUGGACUCAGAUGUUUAUAGAGGUAUUGGGGUAAGCAAGGAAAAACUGACCUAAGCUAGAUACACUAGGUCAUCAGCAGGCUAGCAAGUUUGUCUCCCUACAAUUAUAAAAAUACUCAGAAUGUUAAGUAAAGAAGUCAAGAAAAUUUGGAAUGUGACUCUCCAGGACAUUAAGACAUUCAAAAGUAGCCACAUAUAUGAGAAAACAAAAAGCCACAUGAAGACCCAGGAAAAAUUCAUGCUCCAAAAGACCUGAGAAGAUCUCAAGCCUUUACCUAAGGCUAAUCCCAAAGCCUAAAGUACAUAGUUAAUAAAUAGAGAAUUGCCUUGGCACAGAGCCAGUCUUCGAAGAUUGGGAGAGGUAGCUAUUUUUUUCCAAGUGCUCAAUUUUCAAAAACAUCAUAGGGCAUACAAAGAAACAGGAAAACACAACCCAUUGGAAGAAACAAAAUGAAUCUUUAGAGAUUGCUCAUGAGGGAGCACAAAUAUCAGAUUAGUAGACCAAGAGUUCAAAAUAACUGUACUAAGUAUGCUCAAAAAGUUAAAGAAAAAAACAGAAAAGUAACUAAAGAAAAUUGGGUGAUACACAGAACAAAAUUAGAAUAUCAACAAAUACAAAAUAUUAAUAUAAAAAUAAACCAAACAAAUUCUAGAGAUGAAAAAUUAAAUAACAAAACUGAAAAAUGUACUGUUACUACA